rnacentral:lncRNA from 1 species
CUCCGAUGCCACUCACGGAGGGUAAAGAGCAACAGAGAGUCUUCCGGAGAGCAGAACCCCAGGCACCCCUGGACGAUUGAGGAACUCAGAUCUUCCAGCAGAUAUGAAGUGGUUUCUUGCCAAUUCUCUUCUGUAGAAUGUUGGACGAGUGGCCACAGUGUGCUGUAGCCCCAUUUCCUUUAAUAAAGGCAAGUGGUUUUUAUUUUUUCUCUCGACCAUUAAAUGCUGGGGUGUUUGACUUGACCACUUGCUCUUUUUUUUUUUUUUCAACGUUUAUUUAUUUUUGGGACAGAGAGAGAGACAGAGCAUGAACGGGGGAGGGGCAGAGAGAGAGGGAGACACAGAAUCGGAAACAGGCUCCAGGCUCUGAGCCAUCAGCCCAGAGCCCGACGCGGGGCUCGAACUCACGCACCGCGAGAUCGUGACCUGGCUGAAGUCGGACGCUUAACCGACUGCGCCACCCAGGCGCCCCUUGACCACUUGCUCUUAAUAACUGACAGAUUAUUAAGAGUAACAUCCAGACCCGACCUAGAAGAAUGCACAUCCACCAGCUUGGCUGACAUGUGGGCAGCUUGUACCAUGUUGGGGUGGCACAUUUCUGAAAUUGUUUGUAUGGGGAAAAAUGUUUGCAUGGUGGUGCAUUUCUGAAAUUGUUUCUAUGCUAGGCAGUCAAGGGGUACAGUGUAGUGGCUAUCUAUUACUUACUUUCUGCCCUAUCAUUAGUUGAAUUAUGCCUCCUCCCCCCAAAGAUAUGUCUAAGUCCCAAUUCCCAGUACCUGUGAAUGUGAUCUUAUUUGGGGAAAGGGUCUUUGCAGAUGUAAUUAAGUGAAGGAUCUCGAGAUGAGAUCAUUGUAGAUUAAUCAAGUCGGCCCUGAAUUCAAUGACAAAUGUCAUUAUAGGAGGACAAGACACCUACAGAACAAGAGAAACACAGAAGGAGCAGUCAUAUGACAGUCAAGGCAGAGACUGAAGUGAUACAGCUAUAAGCAAAGGGACACCAAGAACUGCCUGGGGUCAAAGAAGCUGGGUCAGGCAAGGAAAGAUGAUUCCUCGGAGUCCUUGCAGGGAGUGUGGCCCUGCUAACACCUUGCUUUCAAACUUCUGCCCUCCAGAACCGUGAGGUAAUAUCUCUCUGUUGUUUUUAGCCACCAAGUUGUGGUAAUUUGUUGUGCGGCCCCAAGAAACCCAUACAUGCCCAGACAUUUUUAAGACUGUCCCUCCCCUAGUAGGGCUGUCAAUCACUAUCUCAGACCCAGGUGACCAAUCAAAAUACUCCGUCCCCCAGAUCGUGCUGUUUGCCUUGGGGAUGGUCCUUGCAAUGGACUGUUUGUCUGUUCCCUAAAUUCAUAUAUUGGAAUCCUAACCCCCAAUGUGAUGGUAUUAGGAGAUGAGCCUCUGGGAUGUGAUUAGGUCGUGAGAGUAGAAUCCUCAUGAAUGGGAUUAGUGCUCUUACAGAAGAGACCCCACAGAAGAGUUGCCUUUCCCCUUCUGCCUUGUGAGGACGUAGUGAGAAGACAGCUAUCUGUAAGCCAGGAAUUGGGCUCUAUCCAGACACCAAAUCUGCGGACACCUUGAUCUGGAACUUCCCAGCCUCCAGAACCGUGAGAAAUAAAUGCGUGUUAAGUCCCCCAGUCUGUGGUAUUUUCGUUUUAACGGCCCAAACAAACUAAGAUAGCCCCAUGACCCAGAGUAGGCAAUUAGAGGUACCUUUUGACUCUGUAUAGUUGUUGGGAAAGAAGAAUUUCUUGUCCUGAAAUUGCUAGAUGUUAAGGACAAUUUCUGUCCCUCCACAGAGAGCUUGAGAAGGAAGCCAGCUAAAAAGGAAGCAGAGCCAAGGGUACACAGGGAGAGGCAUGCCUUGACGAUGCUAUCCCUGACCCUAGAAACCAGCAUAUCUAAAUACAGAUCUCCCUCUAGUAUUUUUCAGCCAGAGAAUUCAUCUUUCUUGCAUAGGUCAUGAGUUGAGACUAUCACUUGCAAACCCUGGGUCUUGAUUGGCACAUUCUGUGAGAUUCCAGCCAAUCUCCUCAGUCAUGGGAAGCCCAGACUCAGGGGAGCACCAGAAGUAGAAGUCUUACCUGGUGAUAAGACUCCUGAUACCUCUGGCUCUCAUGGUCUGGGCGAUGGGACCAGCCUAGUUCCACACGGCUGGCUAGCCAGCCAGUGCCGUAUUCGAAAUGCUGAGGCGACCACCAAAGACUAGAGACAGAAUCUCGGCUGUUCCGGAGAACAGAUUUGGCAGCAAGUAAAUUUCAAUCACGGCAGCUAAAACUAUCAUAACAAACAAUGAAAACUUCUGUAAAACGAGAAGACUUGCUUCUGUGCCGCUGGAGAAUUAGAGCGAGACACAAACAAUCUCUCUGGAGCACAAUGCUUUCCCUGGCCAGGGCAACAUCACCUCCCCCCAAAGCUUUCUCCAAACCUUCAGUGCUCCUGGCUGAGGAAAGUCACCGUUCACAAAAUGUCCAGUCCACCGUAAAUUAACAAGCAGCUACCCCCACAGAAACCCUAUUUCCUCCCCGAAACCUUGAAUCCUGCUGAACUGUCAACCCCUCGGGCCUAAUGCAAUAAUAUAAUGAAUUCAGAAACCCCAGAGAAUAAAGGACCCCAGGGUAUAUGCAAAAAUACCGUGCACGCUGACAGCCCAGAGAAAGGAGGCAGCGGGGAAGAGGGGCAGUGGUGCUUCCUUUUGCUCAGCAACUUGGGAGUGAAUGAGGAACGACUAACUGCUCUACCCUUAGCUGACUGGCUGCUCAGCUUCUACAUGUCUGAUUGUCAAGGUCAAACCAUGCUUCUAUUAAAAAACUGGAGACACCCUGAAGAGCUUUUACAAGGGACCUUAACUUGAUGCCUCAGGCUUCCUGAGUGAGAAUUAAAAGUUUCUGAAG